AUGCGCGCGCUGUGCAUCAGCGAGACCUGCAGCUCGGAGCUGGGGUUCAGCAGGAACUGGUCCCGGAGGAAGGGCGAGCAGGCGGCCAGGAUGACCUUGUGGCCGCGGAACUUGAGGCUGUCGGCCACGAUGGUCACGUCGCAGAACCGCUCCUCGGCGCGGAGCUGGUUCAUGUUCCGCAGCGUAGCGGCCUCGUGGCCCGGCAGCUGGAAGCGCAGCACUUCCACCCCGGAGGCCAUUGUGGCGGGAGCGGGCUGCCCUGGGUGGCAGGAAGGGGCCCGGUCAGAGACAAAGGUCUGCGGCCGCCGGGACCCCCGCCCGCCCCACCUCCCGGGCCGGGGUGCGCCUCCCUCAGUUUCCCCAAUUCCGAGGAGGCGCGGUCCCUGCGAGGAGGGAGGCGUGGUUCCCGGGGGCGGGGCAGCGGCGUCCACACCCCCCGGCCCCGCGGCCCGCGCGCCCCUGGGAAGAGCGAGCGAGCGAGAGAGAGAAUGGAGCCGGGGUGGGCGGGGGCGAGGACCCGGGGUGCAGGCUGGGCUCUCCGGCCUCGCCCGCAGCGCGGCUGGGCGCCCCCCCUCCCCUCGUCCUCCCGCCUCCCGCACGGGCCGUGCACGCCUCCCUCCCACGCGCGGGUCUCCGCGGCACGCCCCCCACCCCGCCCCACCCCGCCCCGCCCCGGGCUCCCGACCCCGGUGCACGCGCCUCUCACCUGGCCCGGCUCCGCGUGCUGACUUUCCCCCUGGUCCCCCACCCCCCCGGGGCCAGCGGCGCCCCCACGCUCGGGCAGGGCCUGGGCAGCGCGCAGGCGCGCGGGGUGCGCGGGGCGCGCGCGCGGGGCCGGCUCCGCGUGGGCGGGGGGGAGGGGCGGGGGCCGCUCGCGCCGAGUGUUCCAGGGCCCCGCGCCGCGCAGCGCAGCGCCCGCGAGGGACUCGGGGAGGAGGAGGGAUUGGUGCGAGGAGAGAACCAGUGUCCUGAAAGUUGACCACCGUUCUCCUGCCAUGGUGCCUACAUCUCCCCACCCUACCCAACCCUCACACACUAACAAUAACCACACUUUGGCUGGAUAGGUGGAUCAGCUGUUAAAUGUGAAGGGCACUUGCUGUUCUUUAUUUAGGGUGGUUUUGGGGGGCUUUUGAGACAGAGUUUCUCUUCAUAGCCCUCGAUGUCCUAGAACUCACUCUAUAGAGUAGGCUGGCCUUGAACUCAGAGAUCCACCUGCCUCUGCCUCCUGUGUUGGAACUAAAGGUGUGUGUCUCUAUGCCUAAGCUAUACUCUGUUGCCAGCACUCACAAAGACAGCUCACAGCUGUCUUUAAUUCCAGGGGACCUGGCAUUUUCUUCUGGCCUCCAUGGGCACCAGGCACACAUGGUUCAUCUACAUACAUGCAGGCAAAGCACUCAUAACAUAAAAAUAAUUUUAAAAACAUUUUAAAUUUGUUUAUAAAAUAAAAAUUUAAGAAUUAAAAAAUCA
rnacentral:lncRNA from 1 species